GAAUAAUAAGCAACACAGCAAAAAAUAUUGUAAUCCGCCUCGAUGUAAUUGGACCUAUGUAUCGAAAACUCGAUGUAACGGUGAUUUUCAGAUGCAAAAUUACACUAUUUCGAUGCCAUGUUACAUCACCCUUGAAAUUACACAGAAAUUCUAACACUAUUUUCCUUUACGCAUUACUUGUGUAAAAUUUUCAUUAAGAAAAUGGUAAUAUUACACAGAAGCAGCUGCAACCAAGCGGUUACAAUUUUGUGUGUACAAAAUUACACAACUGGAUGUCAUAUCGCAUCUCUUCACGAUGCGAUAAUGAGUCGCGCCGUGCAACACUGUUUUGUUGUGCGAGCGGAGCGAUCAAACUCUGGUCGGCCAUGUUUGAUUCUUCGCGAGUUUUGCUUCAAGCAGCUGACGGUUUCUUGCGAUUUUUCAUCGGUUUUCUGCGUUUUCUGGUCUUGCAUUCGGCAAAAAUGUACGCGCCAAGACUGCCGCUCAAGCCGGAGCUGGCACUUGUGAUUUUUGUGCCGGGCGCUGAAGGAAAAAUCUCCAGCAAUCUACAAUAUAGAACAGCGAGAACCGACCACGGAUUCCCAUGUCCUGGAUGGGAUAUUCCGGAGGGAACGUCGCAUACAUUGCUCAACGUAUCAUAUUGAGCCAGGCACACAUUACUCAAACUAGUGGAGUGUGGCCCUCGUCAUGAAUGGUGAUCCGUUGCUUGCGCUGCCACGACGCUAUCGUUAUCACGUAAAGAGUUCGCCGGCUCUAUAGGUACCAAACCAAGCCAGUAGGAGUAGGUGUAACAACUAUAAACCCAUGAUCGUCAUCGCUGGAUAACAUGUUCGGUCGGAACACUCCUAGCACCUGUGACCUAGCACCUAUAGGACUGAGAAUAUCGAGGAAACUACGUGCCCGUGGUGAGGAUUUGCUCCUUUUGGAGAAGGACAAUGAAACUGUCGACAUGAGCUCCGGAAAGGGUUUUCAGGUACGUAAAAAAUCGUUUGUGAAAAACUAGAGCUUCUGCAGGUUUUUAUCCUGUUAUCGACUGGCAAUUCAGAUCGUUGAGCAUUUCUGAAAAUGUUGGACAGCAAAUUCUCACGCUAAUCACGCACGUUAGUUUGAAUGAGAAUUGUUUUCUCAAUGUACUUAAUUUUGUUACAAAAUCUAAUUUUAUUUGUGUCCUUUAUAUUUACAGAGUUCUUCCAGGUGUUCAUCAGGAAUUCCUCGAGAAUUCCUACAGGAGUGCCUCGCAAAAUCUUCCAGGAGUUCCUCGGGAAUUCCUAUAAGAGUUCCUCGAGAAUUCCUCUAGUAGUUCUUCCAGGAGUUUUUCAAAAACUCCUCCAGUAUCUCAUCGAAAAUUUCUCCAGUAGUUCCUCAGAAAUUCUUCCAGAAGUUCCUCGGGAAUUUCUCCAGGAGUUUCUCGGGAAUUCUUCCAGGAGUUCUACGAGAAUUUUUCCAGGAUUUCCUCGGAAAUUCAUCCUAAAUUUCUCCAGGAGUUCCUCGAGAAUUCUUCGGAAAUCCUUCCCGGUGUUCUACAGGAAUUCCUACCGGAGUUCUUGAGGAGUUCCUCGCUAAUUCCUCCAGGAGUACCUCGAGAAUUCCUCCAGGAGGACCUCGGGAAUAUCUUCAGGACUUUAAAAAAAUGCUCGAGGAGUUCCUCGGGAAUUUCUCCAGGAGUUCUUCGGAAAUUCUCCCAAGAGUUUCUCGCAAAUUCAUCUACGAGUUCUCCAGAAAUUCUGUCAGGAAUUCUUCGAAAAUUAUUCCAGGAGUUACUCGUGAAGUCCUCCAAGAGUUCUUUUAAAUUCUAACUAGGAAAUUCCUACUCAAGUUCCUCGUUUUCCUCUAGGAGACUAUCAGUAAUUCCUCGAGAAUUCCCCCGGGAAUUUCUCUAGAAGUGUCUCGGGAAUUCCUCCAGAUUUUUUUCCGGGAGUUCUUUGCGAAUUACUCCAGUAGCUUUUCGGGAAUUCCCCCAGGACUUCCUACAAGAGCUCCUCCGGAAGUUCUUCAGGAGUGCCUUGGAAAUCCCUCCAGGAGUUCCUCAGUAAAUCCUCCAACAGUUUCGCGAAGAUUCCUCCAGAAGUUCCUUGGGAAUUUUUCCAGAUGUUCCUCGGGAAUUCUUCCAGAAGUACCUCGGAAAUUCUUCCAAAAGUUCCUCGGGGGGUUCUUCCAGAAGUUUCACGGGAAUUCUCCCAGAAGUUUUUUGGGAUGUUUUUCAUAAGUUACUCUGAUUUUUUUUCCAGAAGUUCCUCGGGAAUUCUUCCUGAAGCUCCUCGGGAAUGCUUCCUGAUGUUCCUCGGGAAUCGUUCCUGAAGUUCUUCGGGAAUUCUUCCAGAAGUUCCUCGGAAAUUCUUCUAGAAGUUGCUUGCGAAUUCUUCCUUAAGUUCCUCGGAAAUUGUCUCAGAAAAUCUGCGGGAAUUCUCCCAGUAGUUCUACGGGAAUUCUUCCAGAAGUUCCUCGGAAAUUGUUACAGAAGUUCCUCGGGAAUUCUUCUGAAAAUUCCUCGAUAAUUCUUUCUGAAGUUUCCCGGAAAUUCUUCCAGAAGUUCCUCGAGAAUUCUACCAGAAGUUCUUCGGGAAUUCUUCCAGAAAUUCCCCGGGAAUUCUUCCUGAAGUUCUCCGGGAAUUCUUCCUGAAGUUCCUCGGAAAUUCUUCCAGAAAAUCCUCGGGAAUUGUUCUAGAAGUUCCUCGGGAAUUCUUCCAGAAGUUGCUUGGGUAUUCUUCCUCAUGUUCCUCGGGAAUUCUUCUAGAAGUUGCCUGGGAAUUCUUCCUGAAGUACCUCGGGAAUUAUCCCAGAAAAUCCGCGGGAAUUCUCCGAGUAGUUCCACGGAAAUUCUUCCAGAACUCCCUCGAGAAUUCUUCCAGAUGUUCCUUGGGAAUUCUUCCUAAAGUUUUUCGGAAAUUUUUCUAGAAGUUGCUUGGGAAUUCUGCCAGACGUUGCUUGGGAGUUCUUCCAGAAGUUCCUCGGGAGCUCUUCUUGAUGUACUUCGGAAAUUUUCGGGAAUUCUUCCAGAAGUCCCUCGUGAAUUGUUCCAGAAGUUCCUCGGAAAUUCUUAUAGAAGUUCCUCGAGAAGCCUUCCAAAAGUUCCAUGGAAAUUCUUCCAGAAGUUUCACAGGAAAUCUCCCAAAAGUUCCUCGCGAAUUUUUCCAGAAGUUAUUUAGGAAAUUUCUAAAACCUUCCAAAAGUUCCUCGGGAAUUGUCCCAGAAAAUCCCCGAGAAACUCUCAGAAGUUGCGAGGGAAUUCUUCCAGAAGUUCCUCGGAAAUUGUCCCUGAAAAUCCCCGAGAUACUCUCAGAAGUUCCUCGGGAAUUCUUCCAGAAGUUCCUUGGGAAUUCUUCCAGAAGUUCCUCGGGAAUUCUUUCAGAAGUUCCUCGGAAAUUGUUCCAGAAGUUCCUUAGGAAUUCUGCCAGAUCUUCCUCAGAAAUUCUGCUUAAAGUUCCUCUGGUAUUCUGCCAAAAGUUCCUCGGCAAUUCUGCCAGAAGUUCCUUAGGAAUUCUGCCAGAUUUUCCUCGGGAAUUCUGCCAGAAGUUCCCAAGCAACUUCUGGUAGAAUUCCCGAGAAACUUCUAGAAGAAUUCCCAUGGAACUUCUGGAAGAAUUUCCGAGGAACUCAUAGUAAAAUUCCCGAGGAACAUCAGGAAAAAUUCCCGAGGAACUUCUGGACGUAUUCCCGAAAAAUUUCUGGAAUAAUUCCGUAGCAACUACUGGUAGAAUUCCAGGGCAACUUCCUUGAAGAAUUUCCGAGGAACUUCUAGAAGAAUUCCCGAGGAACUUCUGGAAGAAUUUCUGAAGCACUUCUAGUAAAAUUCCCGAGGAACUUCAGGACGAAUUCCCGAGAAACAUCAGGAAGAAUUCCCGAGGAACUUCUGGAAGAAUUCCCGAAGAAUUUUUGGAAUAAUUCCGUAGCAACUACUGAUAGAAUUCCCAAGUAACUUUCAGAAGAAUUUCCAAGGAACUUCCAGUAAAAUUCCCGAGGAACUUCUGGAAGAAUUUCCGA